rnacentral:lncRNA from 1 species
CACAAGUUCUCAUAUGUAUAAAGUAUCUAAAAUAGCAACAUGUUCGCCGCGAUUGUGGUGUAGUGGGUGUUGUGAAUGUGGUGUCACAUGACAAAACGAGAGGAAAAUCCAUGAAUAUAUUGUCAACGUUCGGAAAAAAUCGAAGUAAUCAUUUCAAUUUCCAUCACGAUAUACGGGUUUUUUGCGCCCUUAGGCUAAGAUUAUUAACACGUAUUUGCAAGCUCUCCAUACUAUAGUCUAACAAUGUCUAUGUCACGAUCCUAGUUCAACAAUUGGAAACCUGUCAUGACGGCUCUCAGUCUUCACGACCAGGUAAACAAAACACACUGCGGAAUUUAAUAGUUCGAAAUAAAAACAAUAACCAAAUACUAAGUAGAAUAAGAAAAUCAUAGCGAUGCCGCUUGGCACAUACACUGAAUACAAAACUUUUGAAAAAUAACAUCCCAAAAUCUGGAAUCCCACGCGCAACACAGGUUGUCAGAACAUAAGUACAGCUCUAAUAUAUGGUGUGUCUAAUACAAUGGGGAAAAACUGGAAACAGUACUACUAACUACAGGAUAGAAUGGACGAAGACUCUCCGGUCUGCGGACGCAGCAGAUAUACCUCAAGUCUCCGAUAGCAAGCUCCAAUCUCACUGAUGAUACGCCUGUCCGGAUGCACCUGAAUCUGCAUAACAAAAGUGUGUAAAAGAGUAGCAUGAGUACACCACGACAGUACUUAGUAAGUGCCAAGCCUAACCUCGGUUGGGUAGUGACGAGGAAGGUCGAGGCCCUACUGAGAUAAAUAUAAAAAUAAAUAAAAUGAAUAGACAGCAAGAGUACAGUAAAUUUGGAGUAUUUAGCAAAAAUAAUAAGUAGCACGAAAGCAUACUACAAAUACAAUUUACAAAUACAAGAACAAUCACGACAGGCUAUUUAUCAUCGGGGAUCUCAUGGUAUCCCGAAGAUCUCCUGGUAUCCUCAUCAUAUGCACAAGGGAUCUACAAGUAUCCCGAGGAUCUCCUAGUAUCCUCCACUUAUUCACGAGGGAUCUCCAAGUAUCCCGAGGAUCUCCUAGUAUCAUCCUUUUAAUCAUGAGGUCUCCAAGUAUCCCAGGGAUCUCCUAGUAUCCUCCAAUUUAAUCAAUCCUGUGCCGGUGAUCUCUUAGUAUCCUACACUUCCAAUCUCGGAGCAUAAUACGUACAGGGAACUUCGGGGAUGCCGUCCCGUAGACCCAUUUGUAAACACAUCACAACAAUUCAAUAUUUAAUAGAAAGAAGCUAAGUACAAACAGCAGGUAAAAAUCUAGAGUCUAGCAUCUAUGUGAUCGCAUAGGAAGUGCCACGAUCGCAUAGAACAAACUUAAGGAGUCUCCAAAUCCUUCUAUGCGAUCGCACUACCUCUCCGCGAUUGCGAUUCACAAAGCCAGCUUCAUUAUUUUCCUUCUAUGCGAUCGCGUGUUCCUCUCUACGAUCGCAGAGAUCAAAUACUCGACCCUAUGUGAUCGCAACACUACUUCCAUGAUCGCAGUACAUGCCAUAUCUUACCCUAUGCGAUCGCAACCCCUAUUCCACGAUCGCAUAGAGAAAUUCGCGCAUUCAUUUAAAUGCCCAAAACAUAACCAUUUCGGGAAUUUUUCAUUAAACGUUCGAACCCUUCUUCUCCAAAGCUUUUACGCAACAUUUAGAGCAUUUCUUCACCCUUCUUGGGUAAGUAUUGUUUAAUUCGUUUUUUUUCAUGUUCCAUCAUCAUUUAUUGAAAUCCUAUGCCUAAAAAAUGUAAUUAGUGUAGAAAUUGGGAGAAUUGGGUAAAGCUAGGACUUUUCGAUUUUUAUUGAGUUAGACCUCGUUUUGGGGUCGAAUUCUAAAACAAAUCAGAUAUUCGGCCUCGUUGUUGAAUGGGUGAUACGAAUUUUGUCCGAACCUCGUGUUUUGACCAAGCGAACCCGAGGUUUUUUUUGGAAUUUUGGGAAGAAAGUAUGAAAUAUUUAGGCAUUGGAUUUGAUUUGUUUAGCAUAUAUUAAUGUUAUAAAGUCAUUAUUGUAUAGGUUUGACUAAGUUGGAGACGAGUUCGAGAGGGAAAGCGACUGUUGUGGAUUGCUUUGGCCGUGGAAGUUUAAGUAAGUGUUCGGUCUAACCUUAGCUUGAAGGAUUAGGAGUCGAGUCAUACUUGCUACCUGUUUUGUGUUGUAUACAACGCAUAGGCAUGGUGACGAGUAUCUAUACGUUGGCGUAGAGCAUGACCGUGAGUCCUAAAUAGCUAAAUUGUGUUUAUUCCUUAAUUGAUUCUAUGAGAACUUGGUUGAAGACCUUUGAUGCUGAACAAAUAUUUAGUCUAUGAGAACUUGGUUGAAGACCUUUGAUGCUGAACAAAUAUUUAGUUAUGACUGAGUAUUGGUGUUAAUUGUGUUAAGUAGAAAUUGAAUAAAGUUGGCUAUAGGUGGAUCUCCAUUGCCGGGAUAGUUAAUUUGAUAUUCUUGUUCCCUUGCCGGGAAUUCAUUUUAUUAUCUUGUUUCCUUGCCGGGUUUCUCUUUGUAAUACUGUAUUGGAUCUACACCUACCACAAGAGUUAUGAAAUGGGAGCGAGUGAUACGUCUACCACACAUGAUAUAUUAAAAUGGGAGUGAGUGGUAUGCCUACCACAAAUGAUAUUUACAUGGGAGCAAGUGGUACGCCUACCACAUAUGACAUUGAAAUGGGAACGAGUUGUAUGCCUACCACAAGAUAUUGAUUGAAAUGGGAAAGGGUUCAUGAUGAAAUGGAAUCGCUUGCACGCCUGCAACAAGAUGAGUUGAACGUGAAAGUUGUCUUAUUCCCUUUUUCUGCGUUAGAAACUAAAUUAUAAAUGUUUACUCUUUAAUCGCUGAUAUUUUAUUUUUAUUUGUACCCAGAGCAUAUUUUCCCUCCCUAGUUUUACUUGUUAAAAUCCUGUUAUUUCUUUGCCGUAUUAUAUAACUAGUUGCACAUGUUUAUCAGGAGUCUGGUCUUAACCUCGUCACUACGUUGCUGGGGUUAGGCCAGACACUUACCAGCACAUGAGAUCGAUUGUACUGAUGCUACACUCUGUGCUCUUCUGCACAGAUCCCGGUGUUGGAGUAGCAUUUGAGCAGCAGCAGUAGUUUGAGAGCGAGCUUUCAGUUCAGAGACACCGAGGUAACCUUAAUGACGUCCGCAAGCCCGAAAUCUCCUCUAUCUUUUAUUUUCGCUUGUUAUUAUGUACUUAGAGACAAAUAAUUUACAUUUCUUUUCAAACAGUUGUAUUUAGUGUGUGAGUAAUGUGACAUCAGUACUUGGGUAGAGAUAAACAAUUUACAUGUAUGCAAACAAUUUACAUGUAUGCAGCGGUGACUCCAUGCUCGGUUUUGGCGAGUCUUCCAUUAGGACUCAUAUUACUCCAAGUGCAUAGGCAAACAAAGAUAAAGAACACUCAUAUUACCAAAGAAGACAUGGAUUAGAGAAAUAUUAUUUUGGAGAAAACCUGAAAUAGACUACGAAAACAAAGGCUGAUAAGUCAAUCUUCUGGCUUAAACCCGAAUUUUACGAUUUCGCUAAAGCGCAAAUAAUAUCUUCCCUCAGUGAAUUAAACAUAUUUGUAGUUUCCUCAAAGAGAUGUGAAAAUAGUCUUUUCCACGUUCAUUUGAGAUCUAGAAGUACUAACAAAGCUAUUUUCUACCAUAUGAGAGUAUAGUUUUUAGUCCAAUAACACAUUGUUAAGCAUUAACUAGUUCUACUUAAGUUUAUAAUAAUUCUAUGUUAUUACUCAGCCAAAGAUCUUUCCUAGUUAAGUGAACAAAGGCGCAUAACUAUUUAGCAAAACGCUUUAGAUAUUCAUAGUUUGAAUGGCCUAAGCAAUUUCUCAAGUUUUUCUUUUUUAAUGCCAAACUUCAUUCAUAUCAGCAAAUCGAAUCGAAAUAAUAUCUAAACAAGUAGGACCCUAAAACAUAGCGUCUCGUCUCCACUUUUAAACAGAAUUCCAACAUCUUAAUAUUUGGCCAAGUUAAGUUAUAAGUAUGUUGUUUUGAACAGGAUCAAAUUCAAAGAACACAACAAACACAUACUCCGCUAAAUUAUUUGCUCAUUAUAAAUAUCCUAAAGGCAUGGGUUUUACUUGGGUUGUGAUAAGAUAGCAUUCUUCCCAUAAAAUAAAUUACUAAUCUAAAAAUAUUGUAUAAAAUAACAAAUCCUUAGUUAUCUAUAAUAAAUAAGCGAGAAAAAUCCUAACACAUGGAUUCUAAUAUGUGAACAACUAUUUUUAAAAACUUCUUUACAACUAGAUAAUACAGAAAACUAACACAUGAUUGCUAAUAAGGGAAAUACGAUAAUAUAUUUCAAGCAAUUCAGUCAAACACAUUACAUUCUAGUGUAAAAUUAUUUGCAACCAGAAUACACGAUCCGAGUAUAUCCUAAAUCAUUUUCUAAAAAAAAAAAAAAAAUAGCGAUUCUCAUACUAGUAAAUAAACACGCAAGUUGAAAUUAGAUUAAAAGAAAAUGGGAGAAAGAAUUAAGAGAGUCACUGACCAUUUUUGCGGGCACUGAACUAGUGCGCUGGUCUAGGGUCUCCGAUCUCCAGCCUCCGAUCAGUGACUCGAACAAACGAUAAGCACAAGAGCAAGAGUUAUGGCUUAGGAGCAGCAGAUGCCGAAGAGAAAAUGACUGAAAUUUAGCAUUUAGAAAGAGUAUUCAGAAUAUUAGAGUGGUCUUUAAAAAUAGAGAUGCGGCGGCAAUCCCCGGUGCCCCAAAAUUCUAGUAUUUACAGGGCAAAAUUGGGGCAUUCUUAAGGGGGUUUGGGCGGGACUUUUCUAAGUCCUAAUUUGAAUCAAACUUUCCGUUUAAAAUUCGAACGUUAGAGACAUUCACGUGGCUUGGUCAAAGAGAGAUGUUAAAAGAAUAGAUUUGCACCAAAAUGGUGCAGCUAAAUUUGUACGGUAAUGGAGAAGAUUUUGGCAUUUGGUCAAAUUGAAGAAGAAGAACAUUGUUUGUAUCU